rnacentral:tRNA from 1 species
UCAUUAGAUAACUAAAGUAAGAUAUGGUCUCUUAAACCAAAUAUAGUAAAUAACGCAUACUUCUAAUGAU